GACGAACGCUGGCGGCGUGCUUAACACAUGCAAGUCGAACGGAAAGGCCCUGCUUUUGUGGGGUGCUCGAGUGGCGAACGGGUGAGUAACACGGGAGUAACCUGCCCUUGACUUUGGGAUAACUUCAGGAAACUGGGGCUAAUACCGGAUAGGAGCUCCUGCUGCAUGGUGGGGGUUGGAAAGUUUCGUCGGUUGGGGAUGGACUCGCGGCUUUUCAGCUUGUUGGUGGGGGAGUGGCUUACCAAGGCUUUGAUGGGUAGCCGGCCUGAGGGGGUGACCGGCCACAUUGGGACUGGAGUACGGCCCGAACUCCAACGGGAGGAAGCAGGGGGGAAAAUUGCACAAUGGGCGGAAGCCUAAGGCAGCAACCCCGCGUGCGGGAUAACGGCCUUCGGGUUGUAAACCGCUUUCGCCUGUGACGAAGCGUGAGUGACGGUAAUGGGUAAAGAAGCACCGGCUAACUACGUG
rnacentral:rRNA from 1 species